GAUGAACGCUGGCGGCGUGCCUAAUACAUGCAAGUCGAGCGAACAGAUGAGGAGCUUGCUCCUCUGACGUUAGCGGCGGACGGGUGAGUAACACGUGGAUAACCUACCUAUAAGACUGGGAUAACUUCGGGAAACCGGAGCUAAUACCGGAUAAUAUAUUGAACCGCAUGGUUCAAUAGUGAAAGACGGUUUUGCUGUCACUUAUAGAUGUAUCCGCGCCGCAUUAGCUAGUUGGUAAGGUAACGGCUUACCAAGGCAACGAUACGUAGCCGACCUGAGCGGGUGAGCUGCCACACUGGAACUGAGACACGGUCCAGACUCCUACGGGAGGCAGAAGUAGGGAAUCUUCCGCAAUGGGCUAAAGCCUGACGUAGCAACGCCGCGUGAGUGAUGAAGUUCUUCGGAUCGUAAAACUCUGUUAUUAGGGAAGAACAAAUGUGUAAGUAACUAUGCACGUCUUGACGGUACCUUAUCAGAAAGCCACGGCUAACUACGUG
rnacentral:rRNA from 1 species